rnacentral:rRNA from 1 species
CCCUUAGAUGUUCUGGGCCGCACGCGUGCUACACUGAGUGGAUCAGCGGGUCAGGUUGCGCGAAAGUGUUUCCUCAUCUUUAAAUCCGCUCGUGAUGGGGAUUGACGGUUGCAAUUUUCCGUCAUGAACGAGGAAUACCUUGUAAGCGCGGGUCAUCAUCCCGCGCUGAAUACGUCCCUGCCCUUUGUACACACCGCCCGUCGCUCCUACCGAUUGAGUGGUCCGGUGAGGCUUUGGGAUCUGAGCGGAAAGAGCGUUUCGCUGUUUCUGCCCGGAAAACUCAGUCGAACCUUAUCAUUUAGAGGAAGGAGAAGUCGUAACA